GAUAUAGCCGUGAAAUUGAUGCGACCCAAGCGUUCAUUUGAGUCAAAUGCCCCCAUCUACGACGAACGCUGUUUACAUUCCAAUCUCAAAGCUCGGCUUUACAAUGUCCAUGGCGGAUUUCACGACAUCACGAUGGAAGCAAGAUAUCCAGGUGGUGUUCGGACUUCAGACAUAACCGAAGACGAAGAAGAAACCGCAUCCAUUUUGAGAAUAUUCAGUUUUUUUUUUAUUUUGUGGGUGUACGUAUAUAUGUAUAUAUAUAAGUAAAAGCAAGUGGACAAAUUCCAAAUCUUGGGGGAAGAUAUAUCGUCGAGUGAAUCGUAUCGUCGACA